GGCUCUGUAGCUCAGUCGGUAGAGCAAAGGACUGAAAAUUCUUGUGUCGGCAGUUCAAUUCUGCCCGGGGCCACCA
rnacentral:tRNA from 1 species